rnacentral:rRNA from 1 species
UACGUAGGGGGCUAGCGUUGUCCGGAAUCAUUGGGCGUAAAGCGCGUGUAGGCGGUCCGGUAAGUCCGCUGUGAAAGUCGGGGGCUCAACCCUCGGAUGCCGGUGGAUACUGUCGGGCUUGAGUACGGAAGAGGCGAGUGGAAUUCCUGGUGUAGCGGGUGAAAUGCGCAGAUAUCAGGAGGAACACCGGUGGCGAAGGCGGGUCUCUGGGCCGAUACUGACGCUGAGGAGCGAAAGCGUGGGGAGCAAACAGG